GACAGAGGUGCCGAGCGUUAGGCGGAAUCACUGGGCUUAAAGCGUGUGUAGGCGGACUCGUAAGUGCUUUGUGAAAUCCCAUGGCUCACCCAUGGAACUGCUUGGCAUACUGCGAGCCUUGAGCCACUUAGGGGCAACCGGAACAAACGGUGGAGCGGUGAAAUGCGUAGAUAUCAGGAAGAACACCAAUGGCGAAAGCAGCUUUCUGGGACGGUACUGACGCUGAGACGCGAAAGCGUGGGGAGCGAACAGG
rnacentral:rRNA from 1 species